UACGUAGGGUGCAAGCGUUUAUCCGGAAUUAUUGGGCGUAAAGAGCUCGUAGGCGGUUUGUCGCGUCUGCUGUGAAAACCCGAGGCUCAACCUCGGGCCUGCAGUGGGUACGGGCAGACUAGAGUGCGGUAGGGGGAGAUUGGAAUUCCUGGUGUAGCGGUGGAAUGCGCAGAUAUCAGGAGGAACACCAAUGGCGAAGGCAGAUCUCUGGGCCGUAACUGACGCUGAGGAGCGAAAGCAUGGGGAGCGAACAGG
rnacentral:rRNA from 1 species